rnacentral:tRNA from 1 species
GGUGGCGUGGCCGAGGGGCUAGGCACGGCUCUGCAAAAGCUGUCACGGCGGUUCAAGUCCGUCCGCCACCUCCA